UACGGGGGGGAGCAAGCGUUUGUUCGGAUUUACUGGGCGUAAAGGGCGCGUAGGCGGGCGGACAAGUCGGGGGUGAAAUCGUUCGGCCCAACCGGACAAGGGCCCCCGAUACUGGCCGUCUCGAGGGAGGUAGGGGUCGGAUGGAACUUCCGGUGGAGCGGUGAAAUGCGGUAGAUAUCGAGAGGAACACCUGCGGCGAAGGCGGGUUGCUGGGCUGAUACUGACGCUGAGGCGCGAAAGCCAGGGGAGCGAACGGG
rnacentral:rRNA from 1 species